GAAAAAAAGAAAAAAUUUGCUGAACUUUUUUUUUUUGCUUUUUAAAACUUAACCGUUUUGAAAACCAUUUUUAACUUUAAAAUUGAAUAAGCAUUUUAAAACAAGAAACAACUUUAUUUUUGGAUUAUCUUACAAUGCCUUUUCUCUCAAUUAUUCCUGCUGGCGCUUCUUUCCCUGUGAAAUUUUCAAAUUUACCAUAAGUUUACUAAUUCUGAACUUAAUUUUUUAUGCUGCUCUCUCACUUUUCCUUGCUGAUACGAUUAAUUUUGCUGAAAAUACACUCAUAACAACCAGGUAAUCACUAAGAUGAACAAUCUCACCUUAAAAAAAACGUAAUUUCUCUCUUAUAACUCUUUGUUUUAUCCUAUCUUAAAAUGGCUGUUUUGGCUUUUGAUUCCAAUGGCUGCUGGUGUUUUGUCUCUUGGAGAAUGGUUGUAAAUUUAUGGUUUGAUUUGACUGGGGAGAGUCUUUCAUUUCUGUUGCUGUUAUCAUAGAGAGAGAAUGGGAAUUGAAAUGUAAAAUUAGCAUAUUGGUUAUCCACCAGUGAAGAUCCCCAAAUGAUUAAAUGAAAAGAUAUUAAUUUUGGGAGAUAGUUUGUUCCAUGAGUAAAGAGAUACAGGAGCUUUCCUUUUAUCCUUUUUUUCCCUGAUAUUUAUUAUAUUACUAAAAGGAGAGAGAGAGAGAGAGA
rnacentral:misc_RNA from 1 species